GACGAUCCAGAUUAAUCCAAACUUCAAAGCUUGAUCUAGGACGAUCUAGGCCAAACCAGACUUAGCUCCAGUUAUGAGAGUUAAUCACCCUUUAAUUAUGAAGAAGUUUGUAGUUGGUCACUUUGCCAUCGGAGGUGGUUGGCCCGGCGUUGACCGCCGCCGUUGACCGCCGGUUUGACCGCCGCUUGUGGCAGCGCGUGGCGGCGCGUCCGGCCGUAUUUUUGUGUUCUGUUUUCAGUUUAUUCAUCUGUGCAUCGAUACGAGCG
rnacentral:lncRNA from 1 species